UUAAAAUCCAUAUCUUAUGUUUUAUAUUACUUUAAAACAGCCUGGAAACUGAAUUGCACCAUUAAUCUUGUACAUGUAUCAAGUCCAAACAAAUGGUUUUGUGGCAAGUAAAAAUAAUAUUUUUAUAAAUUGAUUGUAUUGUAUUAAUUUGUUACAGAAAAGAAAGGAAUCAUGCAAGGAUGCAAGCUGAAGGAAAGGACAACUCUCACAUCGGUGCAUUACUAAUUGUUUGACUUCAUCAUCAAGCACACCAGCUCAGAUUGUGAUGGACCUGGAAUGCGACACCAGUUACUCUUAAGUCAAGAACCAAAUGAAGCACCAGAGUACAGAUUAUGGAGGUAUCUGAAGUUGAACUAACUGGAAGCAGGGAACCAUACUAAUAAAGUUCCUUAAGCAGGUUCCUUGUAAAGAUGAACCCAGGGAAGGAUCGAAAGUGGAGAAGACCAGAUCAAGAAAGACCACAUCAAGAUCUGCGGUCAGUUCAAAGGAUGUUUUGCAUUGGACUGUUUUUUUUUUUGGCUUUGACCCUUGCUCGACCCUGACCUCACUCUUGGACUGCCCUAUUGGAUUUUCAGUUUAUUUAAUUUAAUUAAUUAAUUUUUUUUUGGUUCUGGGUAAAUGCUAAUAAAUAUUU